AUUGAACGCUGGCGGCAUGCUUUACACAUGCAAGUCGAACGGUAACAGGCCGCAAGGUGCUGACGAGUGGCGAACGGGUGAGUAAUGCAUCGGAACGUGCCCAGUCGUGGGGGAUAACUGCUCGAAAGAGCAGCUAAUACCGCAUACGAUCUAUGGAUGAAAGCGGGGGACCGUAAGGCCUCGCGCGAUUGGAGCGGCCGAUAUCAGAUUAGGUAGUUGGUGGGGUAAAGGCCCACCAAGCCAACGAUCUGUAGCUGGUCUGAGAGGACGACCAGCCACACUGGGACUGAGACACGGCCCAGACUCCUACGGGAGGCAGCAGUGGGGAAUUUUGGACAAUGGACGCAAGUCUGAUCCAGCCAUGCCGCGUGCGGGAAGAAGGCCUUCGGGUUGUAAACCGCUUUUGUCAGGGAAGAAACGCUCUGGGUUAAUACCUCGGGGUAAUGACGGUACCUGAAGAAUAAGCACCGGCUAACUACGUGCCAGCCGCCGCGGUAACAC
rnacentral:rRNA from 1 species